UUCGGUUAAGUUGUUUACUUACUAUGUAGGAGAUUACUGGCGUUGUUCUUCUAUAAUACAUCCGGCACGUCGUCAGCAGCCCCGGCACUCUCUUCAUUGGAGGAAUAUAGCACAAUCUGGCAACGCUGUCUAUCGGCUAGACCGGCUGGGUGCUCUCGCGAGCAAGUACCUUCACACGUGGGAGGAGACGUCGGGAGCAUCAAGACAUAAGCAAACCAAGAUAGAUUUCUUUAAUAAUCAUCUCGAGUCGGAAUCUUCCUCCAGCGACGACGAUCUGCUCUUCUUUUGUGUUACAUCAAGAAAAAUCGUAAGAGGAAACGUUUGUGGAUGCGCUCGUGCCUGAGAAGAGGGGAAACGAAGAGUAAGUAGCACACUUCUGCCCGAACUUAGCCUGGAAGACUCGGAGACCAUGAGACUGGAUACGCCUUCCCAAAGAACAAUACCAUGAGCUGCUACAGCUUGUGACUCCAUUUAUACAAAAGGAGAAAACACAUAUGAGGGAUGCAGUGACACCUGGCGAACGCCUUACACUUGCACUGCGGUAUAUAGCAUCAGGAGAAACAGUCAUUGUUGGCCUGCCAGUUCCAGAUCAGCUCUGCCUUGACAUCACAGAUCAUCCCAGAAGUUUCCCAUGCUAUCAACCAUGUGUUGGGGCCCAAGUAUGUGAAGCUGCCUUGCAGUGGACAUGAGUGGUGACAAGAUGACAGUGAAUUUUUUUACACAAUGGAAUUUCCCCAUGUGUCUUGGUGCUCUAGAUGGGAAACGUGUACUAAUUGCAAAGCCACACAACACAGGGUCAGAAUAUUAUGAUUACAAAGGUGGUGAAGAACCAUGCCCCAUCACCACACGCACUACGCAGUACGCAGCAUCAAUUGAUUGCUGCAUGGCCGCAGCGCGUUGUCCUGUCACACGUGGUAACUCACAGGAUCCACUUUGCCUGUGCUACAGUGCACGUGUAGCGGCUCCUCUAGACACCAGCAGCAGAGUAUGCAGCAAAUCGAGGGUAAAUUGUAGAUAUCGUACCGCACUCCCGCGGUGCGUCCAAGCGAGUCCAAGGGCAGGAUCAUUGCAGCGUCUUUGAACAGAG